rnacentral:lncRNA from 1 species
AAAUACUUUUCAAGAUUUCACCUUCACUCCUUCAUACUUCUUCAUCAUUCACCGCUCUUCUCUUCUCCAAAUCUCUUCGACCCAAUUUUCCUUUUCACCUGAAGAACCUCUUUUCAUCAUACCCAAUUCACCAUAAUCGUUUUGAUGCCUUAUUUUUUUUGAUGGGAUGGAUUCAGUUGUUGACAAAUUCAAGAAUCGGAGUCUUGAAAAUGAUGAAAGUAACAGUAAACGUUUGUUGAAAUUUGACUAGAGUAAAUAUUUAUAUGCGAACGUUUCUAGGUGUGUUAAGUCAUAAAAUAUCAUCCACCUAAUAAAUAUAACGACUUUUCAAACUCUACUAACCCGUAAAUUUCAUUUGAGUCCUCUUUCAAAUCAAAACAUACAAACAAGUAUGCAAAUACUUUUCAAGAUUUCACCUUCACUCCUCCACACUUCUUUAUCAUCCACUAGUCUUCUCUUCUCCAAAUCUCUUCAACCUAAUUUUCCUUUUCCCCUAAAGAAUCCUUUUUCAUCAUACACAAUUAACCACAAUCGUUUUGAUGCUUUAUUUUUUUGUUAUGGACUCAGCUGAUUCAAUUGCUGACAAAUUCAAGAAUCAAAGUUUUGAAAAAUAAUGAAAGUAACAGUAAAUGUUUGUUGAUACUUGAUUAGACAAAAGAUUUAUAUACAAACGCUUCUAGAUGCAUUUAACCAUAAAAUAUUGUUCACCUGAUAAAUAUAACGACUUUUCAAAAUUCUACUUAUUACUAUAUUUCAUUUCAGUCCAAAAAUAAAAUCAAAAAAUACAAACAAGUAUGCAAAUACUUCACAAAAUUUCAUCAUCAUCCACCAUCCUCCUCCCUUCUCCACCUCCCUUCUUCCAUUCUCCUCUCCAAAUCUUUUCGAUCCAAUUUCCCUUUUCACCUGAAGAACCCCUUUUCAUCAUUACUCAAUUCAACACAAUCGCUUUAAUGCUUUGAUUUUUUUUAUAGACUCAAUUGGUACAGUUGCUGACAAAUUCAAGAAUCAGAGUUUGAAAAUCGAUGAAAAUAACAGUAAAUGUUUGUUGAAACUUAACUAAACCAAAUAUUUAUAUACAAACAUUUCUAAACACGUUUGACCAUAAAAUAUCAUCCACCUGAUAAAUAUAACGACUUACCAAAACUCUAUUUACUACAAAUAUAUUUCAAAAAUAUAUUUCAUAUAUUUCAUUUUAGUCCCAUUAAAAUCAAAACAUACAAACAACUAUGCAAAUACUUUCCAAGAUUUCACCUUCACUCCUUCAUACUUCUUCAUCAUCCACCAUCUUCUCCAAAUCUUUUCGACCCAAUUUCCCUUUUCACCUAAAGAACCCCUUUUCGUCAUACCCAAUUCACCAUAAUCGUUUUGGUGCUUUGUUUUCUUCGAUGGACUCGGUUGAUUCAGUUGCUGACAAAUUCAAGAAUCAGAGUCUUGAAAAUGAUGGAAGUAAUAGUAACAAUAAUAGUAAUAA